rnacentral:rRNA from 1 species
CCUANGGGCGGCAGCAGUCGAGAAUAUUCCACAAUGGGCGAAAGCCUGAUGGAGCGACGCCGCGUGCAGGAAGAAGGCCUUCGGGUUGUAAACUGCUUUUCUACAGGAAGAAUUCCGCCUUGUGCGGUAUGACUGUACUGUAGGAAUAAGAGGUUGCUAACUCUGUGCCAGCAGCAGCGGUAAUACAGAGACCUCAAGCGUUAUCCGGAUUUAUUGGGCGUAAAGGGCGCGUAGGAGGUCAGGAACGUCUUGUGUCAAAUACCGAGGCUUAACUUCGGAAUCGCGCGAGAUACGGCCUGACUUAUGAGGAUACCAGAGGCAAGCGGAACGAACGGUGUAGGGGUGAAAUCCGUUGAUAUCGUGCGGAACACCAGAGGCGAAGGCGGCUUGCUGGGGUAUUCCUGACUCUGAGGCGCGAAAGCGUGGGGAGCAAAAAGGAUUAGAUACCCCANUANUC